CACGAACGCUGGCGGCAGGCUUAACACAUGCAAGUCGAGCGCCCCGCAAGGGGAGCGGCAGACGGGUGAGUAACGCGUGGGAAUCUACCCAUCUCUACGGAAUAACGCAUGGAAACGUGUGCUAAUACCGUAUACGUCCUUCGGGAGAAAGAUUUAUCGGAGAUGGAUGAGCCCGCGUUGGAUUAGCUAGUUGGUGGGGUAAAGGCCUACCAAGGCGACGAUCCAUAGCUGGUCUGGGAGGAUGAUCAGCCACACUGGGACUGAGACACGGCCCAGACUCCUACGGGAGGCAGCAGUGGGGAAUAUUGGACAAUGGGCGCAAGCCUGAUCCAGCCAUGCCGCGUGAGUGAUGAAGGCCCUAGGGUUGUAAAGCUCUUUCACCGGUGAAGAUAAUGACGGUAACCGGAGAAGAAGCCCCGGCUAACUUCGUGCCAGCCGCCGCCGUAAUAC
rnacentral:rRNA from 1 species